rnacentral:rRNA from 1 species
AUUGAACGCUGGCGGCAUGCCUUGCACAUGCAAGUCGAACGGCAGCGGGGGAGAAGCUUGCUUUUCCUGCCGGCGAGUGGCGAACGGGUGAGUAAUACAUCGGAACGUGCCCUGUAGUGGGGGAUAACUAGUCGAAAGAUUAGCUAAUACCGCAUACGACCUGAGGGUGAAAGUGGGGGACCGCAAGGCCUCAUGCUAUAGGAGCGGCCGAUGUCUGAUUAGCUAGUUGGUGGGGUAAAGGCCUACCAAGGCGACGAUCAGUAGCUGGUCUGAGAGGACGAUCAGCCACACUGGGACUGAGACACGGCCCAGACUCCUACGGGAGGCAGCAGUGGGGAAUUUUGGACAAUGGGCGAAAGCCUGAUCCAGCAAUGCCGCGUGUGUAAAGAAGGCCUUCGGGUUGUAAAGCACUUUUGUCCGGAAAGAAAUGGCUCUGGUUAAUACCUGGGGUCGAUGACGGUACCGGAAGAAUAAGGACCGGCUAACUACGUACCAGCCGCCGCGGUAA